UACGGAGGGAGCUAGCGUUGUUCGGAAUUACUGGGCGUAAAGCGCGCGUAGGCGGCUUUGUAAGUUAGAGGUGAAAGCCCGGGGCUCAACUCCGGAACUGCCUUUAAGACUGCAUCGCUUGAAUCCAGGAGAGGUGAGUGGAAUUCCGAGUGUAGAGGUGAAAUUCGUAGAUAUUCGGAAGAACACCAGUGGCGAAGGCGGCUGACUGGACAUGUAUUGACGCUGAGGUGCGAAAGCGCGGGGAGCAAACAGG
rnacentral:rRNA from 1 species